CAGUCGCCAUGGGAAUACAGAGGGUGCGAGCGUUAAUCGGAUUUACUGGGCGUAAAGCGUGCGUAGGCGGCUUUUUAAGUCGGAUGUGAAAUCCCUGAGCUUAACUUAGGAAUUGCAUUCGAUACUGGGAAGCUAGAGUAUGGGAGAGGACGGUAGAAUUCCAGGUGUAGCGGUGAAAUGCGUAGAGAUCUGGAGGAAUACCGAUGGCGAAGGCAGCCAUCUGGCCUAAUACUGACGCUGAGGUACGAAAGCAUGGGGAGCAAACAGGAUUAGAUACCCCGGUAGUCCCUGUCUCUUAUAA
rnacentral:rRNA from 1 species